UAGGGAAUCUUCGGCAAUGGACGAAAGUCUGACCGAGCAACGCCGCGUGAGUGAAGAAGGUUUUCGGAUCGUAAAACUCUGUUGUUAGAGAAGAACAAGGGCGUUAGUAACUGAACGUCCCCUGACGGUAUCUAACCAGAAAGCCACGGCUAACUACGUGCCAGCAGCCGCGGUAAUACGUAGGUGGCAAGCGUUGUCCGGAUUUAUUGGGCGUAAAGCGAGCGCAGGCGGUUUCUUAAGUCUGAUGUGAAAGCCCCCGGCUCAACCGGGGAGGGUCAUUGGAAACUGGGAGACUUGAGUGCAGAAGAGGAGAGUGGAAUUCCAUGUGUAGCGGUGAAAUGCGUAGAUAUAUGGAGGAACACCAGUGGCGAAGGCGGCUCUCUGGUCUGUAACUGACGCUGAGGCUCGAAAGCGUGGGGAGCAAACAGG
rnacentral:rRNA from 1 species